GUGGGGAAUCUUGCGCAAUGGGCGAAAGCCUGACGCAGCGACGCCGCGUGGGGGAUGAAUGCCUUCGGGUUGUAAACCCCUUUCGGCAGGGACGAAGCGAUUGUGACGGUACCUGCAGAAGAAGCUCCGGCUAACUACGUGCCAGCAGCCGCGGUAAGACGUAGGGAGCGAGCGUUGUCCGGAUUCAUUGGGCGUAAAGAGCGCGUAGGCGGUUUGGUAAGUCGGAUGUGAAAACACGAGGCUCAACCUCGUGCGUGCAUCCGAAACUGCCCGACUAGAGGUAGGUAGGGGAGAUCGGAAUUCCUGGUGUAGCGGUGGAAUGCGCAGAUAUCAGGAGGAACACCGGUGGCGAAGGCGGAUCUCUGGGCCUUACCUGACGCUGAGGCGCGAAAGCUAGGGGAGCGAACAGGAUUAGAAACCCCGGUAGUCC
rnacentral:rRNA from 1 species